GGUCCCGCCUGCCCAGUGAACAUUUUCAACGGCCGCGGUAUUCUAACCGUGCAAAGGUAGCGUAAUCACUUGUCUUCUAAAUAAAGACCAGUAUGAACGGCUAAAUGAGGACAAAACUGUCUCUUAUAACCAAUCAGUGAAACUGAUCUCCCAGUACAAAAGCUGGGAUUAACACAUAAGACGAGAAGACCCCGUGGAGCUUAAAAUAAACAACUA
rnacentral:rRNA from 1 species